UACGUAGGGUGCGAGCGUUAAUCGGAAUUACUGGGCGUAAAGCGCACGUAGGCGGCUUUGUAAGUUAGAGGUGAAAGCCCGGGGCUCAACCCCGGAAUUGCCUUUAAGACUGCAUCGCUAGAAUUGUGGAGAGGUAAGUGGAAUUCCGAGUGUAGAGGUGAAAUUCGUAGAUAUUCGGAAGAACACCAGUGGCGAAGGCGGC
rnacentral:rRNA from 1 species